CAGUCGCCGCGGUAAUACGGAGGGGGCUAGCGUUGUUCGGAGUUACUGGGCGUAAAGCGCACGUAGGCGGCUUGGUAAGUUAGAGGUGAAAGCCUGGAGCUCAACUCCAGAAUUGCUUUUAAGACUGCCGAGCUAGCAGGUGAGAGAGGUAAGCGGAAUUCCGAGUGUAGAGGUGAAAUUCGUAGAUAUUCGGAAGAACACCAGUGGCGAAGGCGGCUUACUGGCUCAUACUGGACGCUGAGGUGCGAAAGCGUGGGGAGCAAACAGGAUUAGAUACCCGUGUAGUCCCUGUCUCUUAUAC
rnacentral:rRNA from 1 species